rnacentral:rRNA from 1 species
GAGCCUGAGAAACGGCUACCACAUCCAAGGAAGGCAGCAGGCGCGCAAAUUACCCAAUCCCGACACGGGGAGGUAGUGACAAUAAAUAACAAUACAGGGCUCUUUCGGGUCUUGUAAUUGGAAUGAGUACAAUUUAAAUCCCUUAACGAGGAACGAUUGGAGGGCAAGUCUGGUGCCAGCAGCCGCGGUAAUUCCAGCUCCAAUAGCGUAUAUUAAAGUUGUUGCAGUUAAAAAGCUCGUAGUUGAAUUUCGGGGUUCUACCGUUGGUCGGGCUUUGUCUGUACUGGCGUGUAGAAUUUCUACCUUCUGGGGAACCAUCAUGUUAUUAAUUUAGCGUGGUGGGAAACCAGGACCUUUACCUUGAAAAAAUUAGAGUGUCCAAAGCAGGCUUAUGUCUGAAUACAUUAGCAUGGAAUAAUAGAAUAGGACGGUGGUCCUGUUUUGUUGGUUUCUGAAUCACCGUAAUGAUUAAUAGGGACAGUUGGGGGCAUUAGUAUUCAAUUGUCAGAGGUGAAAUUCUUGGAUUUAUUGAAGACUAACUUCUGCGAAAGCAUUUGCCAAGGAUGUUUUCAUUAAUCAAGAACGAAAGUUAGGGGAUCGAAGACGAUCAGAUACCGUCGUAGUCUUAACCAUAAACUAUGCCGACUAGGGAUCGGACGAUGUUAACUUUUCUUGACUCGUUCGGCGCCUUACGGGAAA